rnacentral:lncRNA from 1 species
AGAAAACCUGAAACGAUAAAAUGACUAAAAGUCUUUUUGAUUAAAAUCAUCAUUUUAGAGCUGCAGAAGUCUAUGGUUAAAAUAAUGUGGGAUUGUGCACAUUGUUAGCACUCAUUCCUCACAGCUACACCUGGACUGCUCUGCAAGGAAUACACACACGCAGACAUAUUCACACACUCUACAGAGCCUUCUAAAGUAACAUGAAAAUGCUGAUUUAGCUGUGCUAAUGCUUUUCUCAUACACACACACACACACACACACACGCGUCUACUAGGUUCACACUAACCCUUGUGUGUUAAAAGUGGCCCAACUGUAUUCAAAAAAAAGGAAUACUCAGAGAAAGAAUUUUGAGCUUAGUUCUCUUAAUAUAUGUCCUCCAUUAUCUGAAAAAGGCCACAAGAACAUGUUAGAAACACCAAAAACAUGAUUUUCAUCAGAGUGGGUAUUUAACUAGAGGAUGCUCAUUGAAGAAGUUUAUUUGUUGAUCAAAUGGGUUUUUGAUUUUAAAACAUUGCUUUUUUUGUUGCUUCAUUGUGUUCAGAAUCCAGAUGACGAUGAAGCUCAUCUCAACCCCCAAGCAAGGAGUGAGUUCACAACGGAGUCUGGACAUUUCACCGGUUCCUCGCAGGUGAAUGGGAAGGAGUUGUCCAAGUCCAGCCACGAUGAGACUGUGGAGGCCUUUCGGGCUGCCAGAGACCCCGUUGUGGUGCAGGUCAUCAGGCGUACCCCCAGCGGCCACCCACAUGGCCUCCCUCAGGAAAUCCAUGUGGUGGACGUGUGCACUCAGACCGACAUCACCUUUGAACACAUCAUGGCUCUGGCAAAGCUCCGACCUACAACCCCCCCAGUGCCUGACGUCUGUCCCUUCCUGCUCUCUGAUAGCUGUCAUUCACUUCAUACAAUGGAGCAGGAUUACUUUGAGGGGACAGACUACCUUUCAGGUGUUCCAGCUGAAGGAGACCGGACAGAGGAAUAUGAGUAUGAAGAAGUUGAACUUUGCCGACUCAGCAGUCACGAGAAAUUGGGGUUGACUCUUUGCUACAGGACAGAUGAAGAAGAGGACAUGGCCAUUUAUGUCAGUGAGGUCUGUCCAAACAGCAUUGCUGCCAAUGAUGGACGGAUCCGAGAGGGGGAUCGCAUUUUACAGAUUAAUGGCCAAGAUGUCAAAGACAGAGAGGAAGCGAUGGCGGCACUCUUCAACGACGAAAGUAGGAACAUCGUCCUCCUAGUUGCCAGACCUGACAUGCAGGUUAGAAACCCCCACCAAUUUCUGAGGAACAGUCAUGAAGACGACAGGCCCUCCUGUUCCACAGUGCCUCAUCAAAGGGACAGUAUGAAAGACAGAAAACCAAGUUCAGAGCAUAACGUUUUGGCGCAAAUUCAGAGACGCCUGUCCCAACUGGAGGAAAAGGACGAGGAAGAGGAGGACAACAUAGAAACUGAGAGUGACAGUUAUCGGCAACUACUGGAGCUAAAAUGUCAGAUACGCAACAGCGGCGAGUAUGACCUCUUCUACAGCCGGCGCAGCACCAUCGAGUGCAGUAUGGCAGAGCAGAGCAGCGUACAGCACGAGCUCCGCCUGCUCAAUGAGGAGCUGCGCAGCAUCGAGCUUGAGUGUCAGAACAUCAUGCAGGCUCAUAAGCUUCGGAAGGGCCAGGAGUCUCCAGUAAAGGGCCUUUCCGUGCCUUCCCCCAGAGGUCCACACUGUGAAGAGUCCACAAGGGGCAAGCUGGCUGACAAUAAUGAAAGGCUGGAGAAAUCGGACAAGGACAGCUCCAGUGCCUAUAACACUGCAGAGAGUUCGCGGAGUACUCCUCUGGCGAUGGAUCGCUCCCCCGAGCACUCGCUCCAGAGAAUGGUGAGCCUCACUAACCAGAGAAACCUGUGCAGUGGACUUGCAGGUCCCUCAGUCAUUACUGCAAGUCGUGCUCCAACAGUGGGGAAGAGCAGCAGCCCCGACCACAGCAAUCCUUCAGAGACAGACCAGAUGCCUCAGGCUGAAGACGAAAGCAAAAAGAUUACACAGUGUACCUCUCGGAUUCCUUACUUCUCUCCUUCUCACAGUUCCCAGCAAAGGCAGGUUAACAUCCCGGCUCAUGCCAGCCAUUACCAGAGCUACAUGCAGCUAAUCCAGCAACACUCAGCUGUGGAAUACGCUCAGAGCCAACUCAGCCUCCUUAGCAUUUGUAAAGAGCCUCAGCGACCUAUUAAUGAGCCCAAAAUGGAGUGGAAGGUCAAAAUCAGAAGCGACGGCACUCGUUACAUCACCAAGAGGCCUGUAAGAGACAAGAUCCUGAGGGAGCGAGCCUUAAAGAUUAAAGAAGAACGCAGCGGCGGCAUGACUACGGAUGAUGAUGCCAUGAGUGAAAUGAAGAUGGGGAGGUACUGGAGUAAAGAGGAAAGAAAGCAGCACCUUGUCAGGGCAAAAGAGCAGAGGAGGAGGCGGGAAUUCAUGCAGCGUAGUCGACUGGAAAGCUUGAGGGAAAACCCGCAGAGCAGCAAUGAAGGUCGCAAGGAAGUCAGCAUCAUAGAGCUCAGCCACAAAAAGAUGAUGAAGAAACGCAACAAGAAGAUCUUGGAUAGCUGGAUGACAAUCCAGGAGCUGAUGACUCACGGUGCGAAGGCGCCCGAGGGUGCAAACGUGAACAAUGCCUUCCUUUCAGUCACUACUGUAUAA